GAAGAGAAGAACAUAAGGGGCAGUGAAGCGAAGGGGUGAUGUUGAAAAGCCCAGGCUCUGAGGGAGCUGGAGGAGGAAGACAAGGAACACAGCGGCCUGAAAAGGGAGGAAGAAGAAAGUGGAGGCAUCUGGCCAGCAGGUGUGCGCUCUGUGGGUUCACCCAGGUCCUGACACAGACAGCUAUCUGAGGGGCUGCAAGGGAGGAAAAGCAGGGGGCGAAGUCAGCAAGGCUGAAAGAGAAAAAAACCCGCCAAAGCCCACAGCACUCCAGACUCGGAUGGGAACUAAACCACUUCUCCAUCCUGCUGACCAUAAACUGUGUGACCUGUCAGCCUGCAGAAUCACAUGAGCCAAUGAACUCCUCAGCAAAAACCUUGAAUCUCAUUGGUUUUGUUUCUCCGGAGAUCCUGGAUGUAUCUGCUGCUAUGCGUAUGUAUAUGUAUAUGCUGCUAUGUGCUAUCAUCUACAGGGGCGUAACGCCUCUACUGGUCUCAGGAGACAAGACCUUCAAGUAACACAUGGUACCCUUGUAGGUUUUCUUCGGUUACUGCUAACCCUCAAAGCAAACAGUCUAAGAAGAGCUUUCUUUCUCAGAAAAGCUAUCCUUAGUAUCUCUUAGAAGGGCUCUGCGCUGAACAAUAACCAUGUAGUGAUCAUCCUCCCGGCAAGUAUCCAGGUCUCAUAAACAGGGUGGCUAGACGCUAUUCUGGGAAUGAACAAGAAGAUCUUCUGAACAGAGGAUCCCCAAGACUCCCACUGCAGCUCACUCAACACACUGGCCACAGAGCAGGACUGCUGAGACUCUGAGACCAACUUGACCGAUCGACCCAUGCAUCUCAAUCAAGCAAUCAAGAAUGAAUGCCCCAUAAACUAUUUAAUUUUAAUAAAGCCCUUUGAAAAC
rnacentral:lncRNA from 1 species